rnacentral:rRNA from 1 species
CGGAUUGUAGUCUGCAACCCGACUACAUGAAGCUGGAAUCGCUAGUAAUCGCGGAUCAGAAUGCCGCGGUGAAUACGUUCCCGGGUCUUGUACUCACCGCCCGUCACACCAUGGGAGUCGGAAAUGCCCGAAGUCUGUGACCCAACCAUUAAGGAGGGAGCAGCCGAAGGCAGGUCGGAUGACUGGGGUGAAGUCGUAACAAGGUACC